rnacentral:rRNA from 1 species
AAGCUCGUAGUUGAAUUUCGGGAUUCACCCAUUGGUCAGGCUUAAUUGUCUGUACUGGUGAGAUAAAUCUCUACCUUCUGAGGAGCUUUCAUGCCAUUUAUUCGGUGUGAUUGGAAAUCAGGACUAUUACUUUGAAAAAAUUAGAGUGUUUAAAGCAGGCUAACGUCUGAAUAUAUUAGCAUGGAAUAAUGAAAUAGGACGGCUUGGUUCUAUUUCGUUGGUUUCUAGGAUCACCGUAAUGAUUAAUAGGGAUAGUUGGG